UCGACGGCAGCACGGACUUCGGUCUGGUGGCGAGUGGCGAACGGGUGAGUAAUAUAUCGGAACGUACCCUGGAGUGGGGGAUAACGCAGCGAAAGUUGCGCUAAUACCGCAUACGAUCUACGGAUGAAAGUGGGGGCUCGCAAGACCUCAUGCUCGUGGAGCGGCCGAUAUCUGAUUAGCUAGUUGGUAGGGUAAAAGCCUACCAAGGCUUCGAUCAGUAGCUGGUCUGAGAGGACGACCAGCUACACUGGGACUGAGACACGGCCCAGACUCCUACGGGAGGCAGCAGUGGGGAAUUUUGGACAAUGGGGGCAACCCUGAUCCAGCAAUGCCGCGUGAGUGAAGAAGGCCUUCGGGUUGUAAAGCUCUUUUGUCAGGGAAGAAACGGUGAAGGCUAAUACUCUUUGCUAAUGACGGUACCUGAAGAAUAAGCACCGGCUAACUACGUGCCAGCAGCCGCGGUAAUACGUAGGGUGCAAGCGUUAAUCGGAAUUACUGGGCGUAAAGCGUGCGCAGGCGGUUAUGUAAGUCAGAUGUGAAAUCCCCGGGCUCAACCUGGGAAUGGCAUUUGAGACUGCAUGGCUAGAGUGUGUC
rnacentral:rRNA from 1 species